rnacentral:rRNA from 1 species
AGAGUUUGAUCCUGGCUCAGGAUGAACGCUGGCGGCGUGCUUAACACAUGCAAGUCGAACGGAGUACCCCUGAAGGAGUUUUCGGACAACUGAUGGGACUACUUAGUGGCGGACGGGUGAGUAACGCGUGAGUAACCUGCCUUGGAGUGGGGAAUAACAGCUGGAAACAGCUGCUAAUACCGCAUAAUAUGUCUGUGUCGCAUGGCACUGGACAUCAAAGAUUUAUCGCUCUGAGAUGGACCCGCGUCUGAUUAGCCAGUUGGCAGGGUAACGGCCUACCAAAGCGACGAUCAGUAGCCGGCCUGAGAGGGUGGACGGCCACAUUGGGACUGAGACACGGCCCAAACUCCUACGGGGGGCAGCAGUGGGGAAUAUUGCACAAUGGGGGAAACCCUGAUGCAGCGACGCCGCGUGAGUGAAGAAGUAUUUCGGUAUGUAAAGCUCUAUCAGCAGGAACGAGACAAGACGGUACCUGACUAAGAAGCCCCGGCUAACUACGUGCCAGCAGCCGCGGUAAUACGUAGGGGGCAAGCGUUAUCCGGAAUCACUGGGUGUAAAGGGAGCGUAGACGGCUGUGCAAGCCUGAAGUGAAAGGCGGGGGCCCAACCCCUGGACUGCUUUGGGAACUGUACGGCUGGAGUGCAGGAGAGGUAAGUGGAAUUCCUAGUGUAGCGGUGAAAUGCGUAGAUAUUAGGAGGAACACCAGUGGCGAAGGCGGCUUACUGGACUGUAACUGACGUUGAGGCUCGAAAGCGUGGGGAGCAAACAGGAUUAGAUACCCUGGUAGUCCACGCCGUAAACGAUGAUUACUAGGUGUCGGGGGGCAGAGGCCCUUCGGUGCCGCAGCAAACGCAAUAAGUAAUCCACCUGGGGAGUACGUCCGCAAGGAUGAAACUCAAAGGAAUUGACGGGGACCCGCACAAGCGGUGGAGCAUGUGGUUUAAUUCGAAGCAACGCGAAGAACCUUACCCGGCCUUGACAUCCCCCUGACAGUGUAUGUAAUGUACAUUCCCUUCGGGGCAGGGGAGACAGGUGGUGCAUGGUUGUCGUCAGCUCGUGUCGUGAGAUGUUGGGUUAAGUCCCGCAACGAGCGCAACCCUUACCCACAGUAGCCAGCACAAAAGGUGGGCACUCUGUGGGGACUGCCGGGGACAACCCGGAGGAAGGUGGGGAUGACGUCAAAUCAUCAUGCCCCUUAUGGCCGGGGCUACACACGUGCUACAAUGGCGUAAACAAAGGGAAGCGAGAGAGUGAUCUUAAGCGAAACUCAAAAAUAACGUCCCAGUUCGGAUUGCAGUCUGCAACUCGACUGCAUGAAGCUGGAAUCGCUAGUAAUCGCGGAUCAGAAUGCCGCGGUGAAUAC